rnacentral:rRNA from 15 species
UAAACGACUCUCGGCAACGGAUAUCUCGGCUCUUGCAUCGAUGAAGAACGUAGCGAAAUGCGAUACUUGGUGUGAAUUGCAGAAUCCCGCGAACCAUCAAUUCUUUGAACGCAAGUUGCGCCCGAAGCCAUUCGGCCGAGGGCACGCCUGCCUGGGUGUCGUGA